rnacentral:misc_RNA from 1 species
UGGUUGUCCCGCCCGAAGAAUCGGAAUUUUCAGAGCGAUGGGAACAGACAUCGCAAUCGAAACGUGACGCAUUCGAGUCGACCCAAUACGCACAUGUGUAUCAAGUCGUCGUGCGCGCCGAACCGAUUGAUCGAAACCCGGGUCAGAAAGGCAUCGACUUGACCGAGCAAACGGUCGGGCAGGCGAACAAGCUGAAAUACAUUGCUUUCUAUCUUCCGCAAUUCCAUCCCAUUCCUGAGAACGACGCGUGGUGGGGCAAGGGGUUUACCGAGUGGACAAAUGCCACCAAGGCCCGGCCUCUAU